rnacentral:rRNA from 1 species
AAGGUGGCUUCGGCCACCGGAGAGCGGCGAACGGGUGAGUAACACGUGGGUGAUCUGCCUGGGAGCGGGGGAUAACCUGGGGAAACUCGGGCUAAUACCGCAUACGUUGCUCUGGUUGCGGCUGGAGCAAGAAAGCUGGCCUCUAUUUAUAAGCUAGCGCUCGCAGAGGAGCCCGCGGCUGAUUAGCUAGUUGGUAGGGUAAUGGCCUACCAAGGCGACGAUCAGUAGCCGGCCUGAGAGGGUGAUCGGCCACACUGGGACUGAGACACGGCCCAGACUCCUACGGGAGGCAGCAGUGGGGAAUAUUGGACAAUGGGCGCAAGCCUGAUCCAGCAACGCCGCGUGGAGGACGAAGGUCUUCGGAUCGUAAACUCCUGUCAGGCGGGACGAAGGCUUCCGUGCGAACAGUGCGGAAGCUUGACGGUACUGCCAGAGGAAGCCCCGGCUAACUCCGUGCCAGCAGCCGCGGUAAUACGGAGGGGGCUAGCGUUAUUCGGAAUUAUUGGGCGUAAAGGGCGCGUAGGCGGCCCGGUAAGUCAAAGGUGAAAUCCCUCGGCUCAACUGAGGAACUGCCUUUGAAACUGUCGGGCUUGAGGCCGGGAGGGGGUAGCGGAAUUCCCAGUGUAGCGGUGAAAUGCGUAGAUAUUGGGAGGAACACCGGUGGCGAAGGCGGCUACCUGGACCGGUUCUGACGCUGAUGCGCGAAAGCGUGGGUAGCAAACAGGAUUAGAUACCCUGGUAGUCCACGCUGUAAACGAUGGGUGCUCGGUGUCG